GCGGCUCUGCCUGGCUCGCGCGGGGCCGUUGGAGCCUCUCUGCCCGCCCCAGCCCCGAUCUUCCAUUCUCCUGUUCAAGAGACAUCCCCCAGGGCUCCCUCUGCCUGUGUGACUGGCCAGCAGGGGGCGGUGAUAACUCUCUAUCCACUUAGUAGACACUCUGAGGUGUGUGACUGAGAUCAGGGCUCUUAUCGUACUGAGCGUGGCCCUGUUCUGCCAGGUGCU